rnacentral:rRNA from 1 species
GACGAACGCUGGCGGCGUGCUUAACACAUGCAAGUCGAACGGACAGGCCCUGCUUUUGUGGGGUGCUCGAGUGGCGAACGGGUGAGUAACACGUGAGUAACCUGCCCUUGACUUUGGGAUAACUUCAGGAAACUGGGGCUAAUACCGGAUAGGAGCUCCUGCUGCAUGGUGGGGGUUGGAAAGUUUCGGCGGUUGGGGAUGGACUCGCGGCUUAUCAGCUUGUUGGUGGGGUAGUGGCUUACCAAGGCUUUGACGGGUAGCCGGCCUGAGAGGGUGACCGGCCACAUUGGGACUGAGAUACGGCCCAGACUCCUACGGGAGGCAGCAGUGGGGAAUAUUGAACAAUGGGCGGAAGCCUGAUGCAGAAACGCCGCGUGCGGGAUGACGGCCUUCGGGUUGUAAACCGCUUUCGCCUGUGACGAAGCGUGGGUGACGGUAAUGGGUAAAGAAGCACCGGCUAACUACGUG